UACGUAGGGUGCGAGCGUUAAUUGGAAUUACUGGGCGUAAAGCGUGCGCAGGCGGUCUGUUAAGACCGAUGUGAAAUCCCCGGGCUUAACCUGGGAACUGCAUUGGUGACUGGCAGGCUUUGAGUGUGGCAGAGGAGGUAGAAUUCCACGUGUAGCAGUGAAAUGCGUAGAGAUGUGGAGGAAUACCGAUGGCGAAGGCAGCCUCCUGGGCCAACACUGAC
rnacentral:rRNA from 1 species